rnacentral:rRNA from 1 species
AUGUCUGGGUUGCAUAACCGCUUGACUCAGCUGGGAGUUAAUCUCCCGGAUGAUGCGGUCAUUGACAGAAUCCUCCAGUCGCUUCCACCAAGCUACAAGAGCUUUGUGAUGAACUUCAAUAUGCAGGGGAUGGAAAAGACCAUUCCUGAAGUAUUUGCUAUGCUGAAAUCAGCAGAGGUAGAAGUCAGAAAGGAACAUCAAGUGUUGAUGAUCAAUAAAACCACUAAGUUCAAGAAGGGCAAGGGUAAAAAGAACUUCAAGAAGGACGGCAAGGUAGUUGCCGCGCCCAGCAAGCAAGCUGCCGGGAAGAAGCCAAAGAAUGGACCCAAGCCCGAGACUGAGUGUUUUUAUUGCAAGGAAAGUGGUCACUGGAAGCGGAACUGCCCCAAAUACUUAGCGGACAAGAAGGCCGGCAAAACCAAAGGAGCUGCGGAAUAA